rnacentral:rRNA from 1 species
GACGAACGCUGGCGGCGUGCUUAACACAUGCAAGUCGAACGGAAAGGCCCUGCUUGCAGGGUACUCGAGUGGCGAACGGGUGAGUAACACGUGGGUGAUCUGCCCUGCACUUCGGGAUAAGCUUGGGAAACUGGGUCUAAUACCGGAUAGGAGCCAUCUUUAGUGUGGUGGUUGGAAAGUUUUUUCGGUGUAGGAUGAGCUCGCGGCCUAUCAGCUUGUUGGUGGGGUAAUGGCCUACCAAGGCGGCGACGGGUAGCCGGCCUGAGAGGGUGUACGGCCACAUUGGGACUGAGAUACGGCCCAGACUCCUACGGGAGGCAGCAGUGGGGAAUAUUGCACAAUGGGCGCAAGCCUGAUGCAGCGACGCCGCGUGGGGGAUGAAGGCCUUCGGGUUGUAAACUCCUUUCGCUAGGGACGAAGCGUUUUUGUGACGGUACCUAGAGAAGAAGCACCGGCUAACUACGUG